UACGAAGGGUGCAAACGUUGCUCGGAAUUAUUGGGCGUAAAGAGCUCGUAGGCGGUCUGUCGCGUCGGCUGUGAAAACUCGGGGCUCAACCCCGAGCUUGCGUCGAUACGGGCAGGCUAGAGUUCGGCAGGGGAGACUGGAAAUUCCUGGUGUAGCGGUGAAAUGCGCAGAUAUCAGGAGGAACACCGGUGGCGAAGGCGGGUCUCUGGGCCGAUACUGACGCU
rnacentral:rRNA from 1 species